rnacentral:rRNA from 1 species
UACGGAAGGCAGCAGUGGGGAAUAUUGCACAAUGGGCGAAAGCCUGAUGCAGCUAUGCCGCGUGUAUGAAGAAGGCCUUAGGGUUGUAAAGUACUUUCAUCGGGGAGGAAAAACAAAACUAAUAAUUUUAUUUCUUGACGUUACCCGAAAAAGAAGCACCGGCUAACUCCGUGCCAGCAGCCGCGGUAAUACGGAGAGGGCUAGCGUUAUUCGGAAUUAUUGGGCGUAAAGAGCGCGUAGGCUGAUUAGUAAGUUAAAAGUGAAAUCCCAAAGCUUAACUUUGGAAUUGCUUUUUAAAACUGCUAGUCUAGAGAUUGAAAGAGGAUAGAGGAAUUCCUAGGUGUAGAGGUGAAAUUCGUAAAUAUUAGGAGGAACACCAGUGGCGAAGGCGUCUAUCUGGUUCAAAUCUGACGCUGAGGGCGCGAAGGGCGUGGGGAGCGAAACAGGGAUUAGGAUACC